UACGUAGGGUGCAAGCGUUGUCCGGAAUUAUUGGGCGUAAAGAGCUUGUAGGCGGUUUGUCGCGUCUGCUGUGAAAUUUCGGGGCUCAACCCCGAACUUGCAGUGGGUACGGGCAGACUAGAGUGUGGUAGGGGAGACUGGAAUUCCUGGUGUAGCGGUGAAAUGCGUAGAUAUCUGGAGGAACACCGGUGGCGAAGGCGGCAUUCUGGACCGAUAUUGACGCUGAGGAGCGAAAGCGUGGGGAGCGAACAGG
rnacentral:rRNA from 1 species